CCCACCAAAUUCCAAGCAACGCCCACAGCCCAAUCUUCUCCCCUUCUCUUCGUGACGUUUGUUCUUCCCUUUCCUGUCUACAUAUCCCAUCUGUCUCCCUCCAAUUCCAAUCUUCACCGACCCUCUCCUCGAUUUCAUGGUUAUCGAAUCUGGACUAGCCGCACUACCGUCGCAGAUCAGCAGGUACCAAAUCAAGCGGAUAGAGUGCCAACAAGCAACCUAAUUUUGGUUUGCCACAGAAACUGAUUGCAGUUCUACUUCCAUGGCGAGAUCGACCUGUGUCUGCUUAAUUAGAGGCUGCAGCUGCAGUACUCUUGCCAUCUGAUAAACGCCCAUAGCACACGGCGGCCAGCGAUAGCAGCAGCCGGUCGGACCGUGGGCUUGAUCAAGAUAGGAAGCACUAGUGUGUCGAGGGGUUCCCCCACAUGUACAUCCUAAUCUGCAGAAAAAGAGAGUUGUGUAACUACCCAGAGACCCACCCUCCACCCUUCCAAACAAAUUAAGGUGUGCUGAAAUGCGACCGGUUCAUCUAAAUUUCUCUAAUACAUUUGUUUGCGCAAAACCCUGAAUUUUAUCAACCAUGUCGCUGUACCGUUGAGGAAGGCAGUGCUAUCGUCCAACUGAUGCAGCUGAUGUUAUUCUAUUCCUGUUUCAGGACCACAUGUGCACAUAUCUUACUAUUGGGGUAUUGUUGAAAAUGCCCGAUGAAGUUACUUUACAAUAGUGCAGAAGUUUACUUUGAUGAUAUGACAUCCAUAAUCUCUUUUGUCGUUCAUUUACUAAUUAAUGAUGAUGCAAGAUUAAUCUAUCUUCUCUGAAUAAUAUCAGUACCUUGACGUUUACAGGUUGCUUACAGUUGCCUUUCGCUGUUUUUCAUGUGUUAAUAUCAGGCGUUACAUCAAAGUGUAUGCAUACUGCUACUAACUCUCAAUCCUUAUUGUGUUUUCUACUAUGAAAUUGCUUUUGACUGUUUUUCAUGUGUUAAUAUCUACUGUACUAACUCUCCUUCUUAUAGUGUUGUCUACUGCGAGGAAAGUGAAGAAAGGUCGACACUUUCUGUACCUCCAUGCCUAUACACACUAUCAGAUGAUGUUUUUCUUAUAUCCCUAUUUCUCUAAUAAUUUAAAGGAAUGUUUAGAAGAUGAAGCCUUAUGAUUCUUUGAAGACUAAUGGCAUAUGUUUACCUCCUGUUGAGGGAUGAAUCAAUGUAAAUGCAUGUGGGAGUUCAAACUUGGGGUUAUAGCUAGGUGGUGAUGUUUCAGUUGUACCUUGAAAGUUUUUUCCACUUGCAGAAUAAGCCGAGAUGGCGGCAUGUAUCGAAGCCAUGAACCUUUGGUUCUGCUGCUAAAUUUCCAUA